GGGAAUUUUGGGGAUCUUGGGAAUUUUGGGGAUCCAGGGAAUUUUGGGGGAUCCUGGGAAUUUUGGGGAUCCUGGGAAUUUGGGGGAUCCUGGGAAUUUUGGGGGGGAUCCUGGGAAUUUCAGGGUGUGUUUCCACCCCAUCCCCCCCCCAAAUUUGGGGUCUCCACCCCCCAAAUUUGGGGUCCUUCCCCCCCAGCUGGACGCUCUGGAGCCCCCUGAGACGCCGCCCCCCAAGGUACCCCCUCCCCACGCCCUUCCCUGCGUCGUGGAUGGGCUCAAACCCCCAAAAUUAACCAAAAACCCCCCAAUUUUGGGGUGUCCCCCCCCCCCAAACCCCAGCGCCCCCGCGGCGCCGCGCUCUUCGUGCUCCUCUCCAUCCUCUUCCUCCUCACCUUCCUCCUCCUCCUGCACCUGCGCGGCCGCGGCGCCGACGGCACCUGCGGGGACACCUGCAGGAUCGUGCUGGUGGAGAGCAUCCCCGAGGGCCUGGCCCUGGGCCCCCGGCUCAGCCCCUCCACCUUCGAGGCGUGGCUGGGGCUGCUGGCCGGGGCCGCGCGCAGCGUGGACAUCGCCUCCUUCUACUGGACCCUGAGCAACAACGACACCCGCACGCACGAGCCCAGCGCCGAGCAGCUGGCAUUUUUGGGGGGCUGCUGGCCGGGGCCGCGCGCAGCGUGGACAUCGCCUCCUUCUACUGGACCCUGAGCAACAACGACACCCGCACGCACGAGCCCAG
rnacentral:lncRNA from 14 species